rnacentral:rRNA from 25 species
GCGACCCCAGGAUGGGCGAGGCCACCCGCCGAGUUUAA